rnacentral:rRNA from 1 species
GAUGAACGCUGGCGGCGUGCCUAAUACAUGCAAGUCGAGCGGACAGAUGAGGAGCUUGCUCCUCUGACGUUAGCGGCGGACGGGUGAGUAACACGUGGAUAACCUACCUAUAAGACUGGGAUAACUUCGGGACACCGGCGCUAAUACCGGAGAAUAUAUUGAACCGCGUGGUGCAAUAGUGAAAUACGGUUUUGCUGUCACUUAUAGAUGGUUCCGCGCCGCAUUAGCUAGUUGGUAAGGUAACGGCUUACGAAGGCAACGAUGCGUAGCCGACCUGAGAGGGUGAUCGGCCACACUGGAACUGAGACACGGUCCAGACUCCUACGAGAGGCAGCAGUAGCGAAUCUUCCGCAAUGGGCGAAAGCCUGACGGAGUAACGGCGCGUGAGUGAUGAAGGUCUUCGGAUCGUAAAACUCUGUUAUUAGGGAAGAACACAUGUGUAAGUAACUAUGCACGUCUUGACGGUACCUAAUCAGAAAGCCGCGGCUAACUACGUG